UCCGUUUCAGUGCUGACUGCCAGUGGGGAAGGAUCUUUUCUGGAGAUCCCUUCUCUGGAGUUUUAUAGUGAGCCAAGGAUACAGGAGUUAUGUGAAAAGGGUGCUGCCUCUUCAGGCUGUCUUCCACAUGGAUGUGCUGUGGGACUGUGUGAAUGGUCUACUCCCUAUUCCCUCUGACUUCCAGGUCAGGCUGCCUUUGUCUUCAAACACAUCUUCCUUCUUCACAUCUACCUGUCUUCAACACAUCUUCCUUCAGAUAACUGGGACAAGCAGAUCUCUGUAUCAAAGCGCUAAGUUAUGUUUAUGGUACCUAAACUUGCCAUGGAUUUCCCUGAAAGGUCAAAUGAAGCCUGAACCUCUGAUUGACCACCUGAGGUGAGCAA